rnacentral:rRNA from 1 species
GACGAACGCUGGCGGCGUGCUUAACACAUGCAAGUCGAGCGAGUGGAUUCCCUUCGGGGUACUCGAGUGGCGGACGGCUGAGUAACGCGUGGGAACGUGCCCCAAAGUGAGGGAUAACGCACCGAAAGGUGUGCUAAUACCGCAUAUGGUCUUCGGAUUAAAGCUUCGGCGCUUUGGGAGCGGCCCGCGUACGAUUAGAUAGUUGGUGAGGUAAUGGCUCACCAAGUCGACGAUCGUUAGCUGGUCUGAGAGGAUGAUCAGCCAGACUGGGACUGAGACACGGCCCAGACUCCUACGGGAGGCAGCAGUAAGGAAUCUUCCACAAUGGGGGCAACCCUGAUGGAGCAACGCCGCGUGCAGGAUGAAGGUUUUCGGAUCGUAGACUGCUUUUAUAAGUGAAGAAUAUGACGGUAACUUAUGAAUAAGGAUCGGCUAACUACGUGCCAGCAGCCGCAGUAAUAC